rnacentral:rRNA from 1 species
CCAGACUCCUACGGGAGGCAGCAGUGGGGAAUAUUGCACAAUGGGGGAAACCCUGAUGCAGCGACGCCGCGUGAGUGAAGAAGUAUUUCGGUAUGUAAAGCUCUAUCAGCAGGGAAGAAAAUGACGGUACCUGAUUAAGAAGCCCCGGCUAACUACGUGCCAGCAGCCGCGGUAAUACGUAGGGGGCAAGCGUUAUCCGGAUUUACUGGGUGUAAAGGGAGCGUAGACGGCAGCACAAGUCUGGAGUGAAAUGCCGGGGCUUAACCCCGGAACUGCUUUGGAAACUGUGCAGCUAGAGUGCAGGAGAGGUAAGCGGAAUUCCUGGUGUAGCGGUGAAAUGCGUAGAUAUUAGGAGGAACACCAGUGGCGAAGGCGGCUUACUGGACUGUAACUGACGUUGAGGCUCGAAAGCGUGGGGAGCA